UCAAGUAGAGAAGGGCGCACGGUGAAUGCCUGGGCACUAGCAGCCGAAGAAGGACGUGACGAACCACGAAAGGCUACGGGGAGCUGUAAGUAAGCUAAGAUCCGUAGAUAUCCGAAUGGGGGAACCCGGUGCAGCGAUGCAUCAUUAAAUACUGUUAAGGUAUUUAAAGGAAGACGCAGUGAACUGAAACAUCUAAGUAGCUGCAGGAAGAGAAAGAAAGAUCGAUUUCCCAAGUAGCGGCGAGCGAACAGGAAAGAGCCCAAACCAGUGAAUUUAUUCAUUGGGGUUGUAGGACUACGAUGUGAGACAGAGAGGUAUAGUUGAAGCCUUUGGGAAGAGGCGCCAGAGAGGGUGAUAGCCCCGUAAGCGAAAUAGCUCGAAGCUCUAGUAGAAUCCUGAGUAGGCCGGGACACGAGAAAUCCCGGUUGAAACAGCGAGGACCAUCUCGCAAGGCUAAAUACUAGCUAGUGACCGAUAGUGAACCAGUACCGUGAGGGAAAGGUGAAAAGAACCCCGGGAGGGGAGUGAAAGAGAACCUGAAACCGUGUGCCUACAAGUAGUCAAAGCACAUUAAAGUGUAAUGGCGUGCCUUUUGUAGAAUGAACCGGCGAGUUACGUUAAAUAGCAAGGUUAAGUGAGAAAAGACGGAGCCGUAGCGAAAGCGAGUCUGAAUAGGGCGAGAAGUUAUUUGACGUAGACCCGAAACCAAGUGACCUACCCAUGUCCAGGUUGAAGGCCAGGUAAAACUGGCUGGAGGACCGAACCCACGUAAGUUAAAAAUUGCGGGGAUGAGGUGUGGGUAGCGGUGAAAUUCCAAACGAACUUGGAGAUAGCUGGUUCUCUCCGAAAUAGCUUUAGGGCUAGCCUCGCGAGAGAGGAUAAUGGAGGUAGAGCACUGUUUGGACUAGGGGCCCGUCAGGGGUUACUGAAUCCAGAUAAACUCCGAAUUCCAUAUAUCUAUACGCGGGAGUCAGACUGCGAGUGAUAAGAUCCGUAGUCGAAAGGGAAACAGCCCAGAUCACCAGUUAAGGUCCCCAAAUCUAUGCUAAGUGGAAAAGGAUGUGGAGUUGCGUAGACAACUAGGACGUUGGCUUAGAAGCAGCCAUCAUUCAAAGAGUGCGUAAUAGCUCACUAGUCGAGUGGCGCUGCGCCGAAAAUUUACCGGGGCUAAGCAUAGUACCGAAACUGUGGAUGUACGUAAGUACGUGGUAGGAGAGCGUUCUAAUAGCGGAGAAGCCUAAUCGAGAGGAUAGGUGGAGCGAUUAGAAGUGAGAAUGCCGGUAUGAGUAGCGAAAGAUAGGUGAGAAUCCUAUCCGCCGAAAGACUAAGGUUUCCUGGGGCAGGCUCGUCCGCCCAGGGUAAGUCGGGACCUAAGGUAAGGCCGAGAGGCGUAGCCGAUGGACAACAGGUUGAGAUUCCUGUACUAAUAUCAAUCGAUAUGAGCGAUGGAGGGACGCAGGAGGCUAAUGACGCAUGGUGCUGGAUCCAUGUGAAAGCGUCAAGGCUGAAAGUGAGUCAAAUGCUUGCUUUCGAAAAGGCUAAGGCGUGAUGCGGAGCGAAAUAAAGUAGCGAAGGUCAUGAUGUCACACUGCCGAGAAAAGCUUCUAGCCAGAGAGAUAUUACCCGUACCGCAAACCGACACAGGUAGUCGAGUGGAGAACACUAAGGUGAGCGAGAGAACUCUCGUUAAGGAACUCGGCAAAAUGACCCCGUAACUUCGGGAGAAGGGGUGCUAAUCGAAAGAUUAGCCGCAGUGAAUAGGCCCAAACAACUGUUUAUCAAAAACACAGGUAUCUGCAAAAUCGUAAGAUGACGUAUAGGUGCUGACACCUGCCCGGUGCUGGAAGGUUAAGAGGAGAGCUUAGCGUAAGCGAAGGUUUGAAUUGAAGCCCCAGUAAACGGCGGCCGUAACUAUAACGGUCCUAAGGUAGCGAAAUUCCUUGUCGGGUAAGUUCCGACCUGCACGAAAGGUGUAAUGAUUUGGGCACUGUCUCAACGAGAGACUCGGUGAAAUUAUAAUACCCGUGAAGAUGCGGGUUACCCGCGACAGGACGGAAAGACCCCAUGGAGCUUUACUGUAGCUUGAUAUUGAGUAUCUGUUAAACAUGUACAGGAUAGGUAGGAGCCAGAGAAAGUAGGACGCUAGUCUUACUGGAGGCGCUGUUGGGAUACUACCCUUGUUUGAUGGAUGCUCUAACCUAGGUCGCUAAGCGUGGCCAGGGACAGUGUCAGGUGGGCAGUUUGACUGGGGCGGUCGCCUCCUAAAGUGUAACGGAGGCGCCCAAAGGUUCCCUCAGAAUGGUUGGAAAUCAUUCGCAGAGUGUAAAGGUAUAAGGGAGCUUGACUGCGAGACAGACAAGUCGAGCAGGGACGAAAGUCGGGCUUAGUGAUCUGGUGGUACCGCAUGGAAGGGCCAUCACUCAACGGAUAAAAGCUACCCUGGGGAUAACAGGCUUAUCUCCCCCAAGAGUUCACAUCGACGGGGAGGUUUGGCACCUCGAUGUCGGCUCGUCGCAUCCUGGGGCUGAAGUCGGUCCCAAGGGUUGGGCUGUUCGCCCAUUAAAGCGGCACGCGAGCUGGGUUCAGAACGUCGUGAGACAGUUCGGUCCCUAUCCGUCGUGGGCGUAGGAAAUUUGAGAGGAGCUGUCCUUAGUACGAGAGGACCGGGAUGGACAUACCGCUGGUGUACCAGUUGUUCUGCCAAGGGCAUCGCUGGGUAGCUAUGUAUGGAAGGGAUAAGCGCUGAAAGCAUCUAAGUGCGAAGCCCCCCUCGAGAUGAGAUUUCCUUUGCGAAAGCAAUAAGACACCUCAAAGACUAUGAGGUAGAUAGGCUGGGAGUGGAAGUAGAG
rnacentral:rRNA from 1 species